GACGAACGCUGGCGGCGUGCCUAACACAUGCAAGUCGAACGAAGAAUGUUUUUCGGAAUAUUCUUAGUGGCGGACGGGUGAGUAACGCGUGAACAAUCUGCCCCGUACAAAGGGAUAGCCUCGGGAAACCGGGAUUAAAACCAUAUAACACUUAACUGCCGCAUGGUAGUGAAGUCAAAUCGAUUAAGAGGUAUGGGAUGAGUUCGCGUCUGAUUAGCUAGUUGGUGAGGUAAGGGCUCACCAAGGCGACGAUCAGUAGCCGGCCUGAGAGGGUGAACGGCCACACUGGAACUGAGACACGGUCCAGACUCCUACGGGAGGCAGCAGUGGGGAAUAUUGCACAAUGGAGGGAACUCUGAUGCAGCGACGCCGCGUGAGUGAAGAAGGUCUUCGGAUCGUAAAACUCUGUCCUUGGUGAAGAAAGGACGGUAGCCAAGGAGGAAGCCCGGCUAACUACGUG
rnacentral:rRNA from 1 species